rnacentral:rRNA from 1 species
UGGGGAAUAUUGGGCAAUGGAGGAGACUCUGACCCAGCGACGCCGCGUGCGGGAUGAAGGCCUUCGGGUUGUAAACCGCUUUCAGCAGGGAAGAAGCGAAAGUGACGGUACCUGCAGAAGAUGCACCGGCUAACUAUGUGCCAGCAGCCGCGGUAAUACGGGGGGUGCGAGCGUUAAUCGGAAUUACUGGGCGUAAAGGGUGCGUAGGUUGUUGAUUAAGUUAAUAUUUAAAUAACUGGGCUUAACCUGGUAGUGGUAUUAAGACUGAUUAACUAGAGUAUAGGAGAGGGUAGUGGAAUUUCCGGUGUAGCGGUGAAAUGCGUAGAUAUUCGGAGGAACACCAGUGGCGAAGGCGGCUCACUGGCUCGAUACUGACGCUGAGGUGCGAAAGCGUGGGGAGCAAACAGG